rnacentral:rRNA from 1 species
GGCUCAGGACGAACGCUGGCGGCGUGCUUAACACAUGCAAGUCGAACGAGGAUUACGUUGGAAGGGCUUCGGUCUGGAAGGUGUAAUUCGAGUGGCGGACGGGUGAGUAACGCGUGAGCAAUCUGUCCCAUACAGGGGAAUAACACUUGGAAACAGGUGCUAAUACCGCAUAAGACCACGGAGUCACAUGGCACUGGGGUAAAAGGAGCAAUCCGGUAUGGGGUGUAGCUCGCGUCCGAUUAGAUAGUUGGUGAGGUAACGGCCCACCAAGUCGACGAUCGGUAGCCGACCUGAGAGGGUGAUCGGCCACAUUGGAACUGAGAGACGGUCCAAACUCCUACGGGAGGCAGCAGUGGGGAAUAUUGGGCAAUGGGCGAAAAAGCCUGACCCAGCAACGCCGCGUGAGUGAAGAAGGCUUUCGGGUUGUAAAGCUCUGUUAUAGGGGACGAAGGAAGUGACGGUACCCUAUAAGGAAGCCCCGGCUAACUACGUGCCAGCAGCCGC